rnacentral:piRNA from 1 species
UGAAAUUUUAUUUUGUGGCCCUCCUGUGA